rnacentral:rRNA from 1 species
GUGGGGAAUAUUGGGCAAUGGGGGCAACCCUGACCCAGCGACGCCGCGUGAGGGAAGAAGGCCUUAGGGUCGUAAACCUCUGUUGUGUGGGAAGAAGGAAGUGACGGUACCACACGAGGAAGUCCCGGCUAACUACGUGCCAGCAGCCGCGGUAAUACGUAGGGGACGAGCGUUGUCCGGAAUUACUGGGCGUAAAGGGCGCGUAGGCGGUCAUUUAAGUCAGCUGUGAAAUGGUCCGGCUCAACCGGAUCAUGCGGUUGAAACUGGAUGACUGGAGUGCUGGAGAGGCAAGUGGAAUUCCCAGUGUAGCGGUGAAAUGCGUAGAUAUUGGGAAGAACACCGGUGGCGAAGGCGACUUGCUGGCCAGCAACUGACGCUGAGGCGCGAAAGCCAGGGGAGCAAACGGGAUUAGAAACCCUGGUAGUCC